UACGUAGGGGGCGAGCGUUGUCCGGAUUUAUUGGGCGUAAAGAGCUCGUAGGCGGCUCGGUAAGUCGGAUGUGAAACCUCCAGGCUCAACCUGGAGACGCCAUCUGAUACUGCCGUGGCUUGAGUCCGGUAGAGGAGCAGGGAAUUCCUGGUGUAGCGGUGAAAUGCGCAGAUAUCAGGAGGAACACCAAUAGCGAAGGCAGCUCGCUGGGACGUUACUGACACUGAGGCGCGAAGACCAGGGGAGCAAACGGG
rnacentral:rRNA from 1 species